rnacentral:tRNA from 1 species
GUUUUAAUAGCUCAGUUGGUAGAGCAUAGGACUGAAAAUCCUAUUGACGGUAGUUCAAAUCUGCCUUAAAACA